AUUGCUGGUAGGAGAGCAAACUUGUACAACCACUUUGGAAAUCAUUCUGGCAUUUUCUCAGAAACUGGGAAAAGACAUAUGUAAAGACCCAGCUAUACCACU
rnacentral:precursor_RNA from 1 species